rnacentral:rRNA from 1 species
UGGGGAAUUUUGGACAAUGGGGGAAACCCUGAUCCAGCCAUCCCGCGUGUGCGAUGAAGGCCUUCGGGUUGUAAAGCACCUUUGGCAGGAAAGAAACGUCGCGGGUUAAUACCCCGCGAAACUGACGGUACCUGCAGAAUAAGCACCGGCUAACUACGUGCCAGCAGCCGCGGUAAUACGUAGGGUGCAAGCGUUAAUCGGAAUUACUGGGCGUAAAGCGUGCGCAGGCGGUUCGGAAAGAAAGAUGUGAAAUCCCAGAGCUUAACUUUGGAACUGCAUUUUUAACUACCGGGCUAGAGUGUGUCAGAGGGAGGUGGAAUUCCGCGUGUAGCAGUGAAAUGCGUAGAUAUGCGGAGGAACACCGAUGGCGAAGGCAGCCUCCUGGGAUAACACUGACGCUCAUGCACGAAAGCGUGGGGAGCAAACAGGAUUAGAUACCCUGGUAGUCCACGCCCUAAACGAUGUCAACUAGCUGUUGGGGCCUUCGGGCCUUGGUAGCGCAGCUAACGCGUGAAGUUGACCGCCUGGGGAGUACGGUCGCAAGAUU